ensembl:miRNA Mir691 microRNA 691
GCUGAUUUAUUUUUGCUUUCUUCCUUGGGUCUGCUUUGAAUAUUCCUGAAGAGAGGCAGAAAAUGUUAUAUUUAAUAU